GAUGAACGCUGGCGGCGUGCCUAAUACAUGCAAGUCGAGCGAACAGAUGAGGAGCUUGCUCCUCUGACGUUAGCGGCGGACGGGUGAGUAACACGUGGAUAACCUACCUAUAAGACUGGGAUAACUUCGGGAAACCGGAGCUAAUACCGGAUAAUAUAUUGAACCGCAUGGUUCAAUAGUGAAAGACGGUUUUGCUGUCACUUAUAGAUGGAUCCGCGCCGCAUUAGCUAGUUGGUAAGGUAACGGCUUACCAAGGCAACGAUGCGUAGCCGACCUGAGAGGGUGAUCGGCCACACUGGAACUGAGACACGGUCCAGACUCCUACGGGAGGCAGCAGUAGGGAAUCUUCCGCAAUGGGCGAAAGCCUGACGGAGCAACGCCGCGUGAGUGAUGAAGGUCUUCGGAUCGUAAAACGCUGUUAUUAGGGAAGAACAAAUGUGUAAGUAACUAUGCACGUCUUGACGGUACCUAAGCAGAAAGCCACGGCUAACUACGU
rnacentral:rRNA from 1 species